rnacentral:lncRNA from 1 species
GGGCUUGGAGUAAUGGAGAACUCCAAGGGCAGGAGGUAACCAUUAAAGAGGACCAUCAUGUAGUGUGAGGAGUCAACAUUUCACACUAGAAAGCCCUUGGUUCAAGUUUUGUCUCUGCCACCUACAGAUUUUGUAACCCUGAGGAAACUAGCUACCUCUUUAUGUACUGCCCUAUGGAGAGGCACACAUGUCAAGAAACUGAGGGAGUGCCUUCCAGUCAACAGCCAGCCAGGAACUAAGGUGCUCAGUACAGCAGCCUCCACAAAGGACUGAACAAUGCCAACAGCUAUUUGACUGUGCUUGGAAGAUCUCCGUUUAGUUAACCCUUCAGAUGAGACCGCAGCCCUGGCCAGCAAACAAAUUGCAGCCUAUGGAAAGACCUUAAGGCAGAAGCACCCAACUGAACCACCCGAGGGCUCUGACUUACAGAAACUGUGAGCAUAUAGUGAAAUGGCCUCUACCUUAUUUUGAAUGGAUUUCUGGGAUAAAGUUCUUCAGUGAUAACAUGUUUGAAGCGGCUAUCUUAUGUGCCCAUGUUACAUGCUCAUGAUAAAGCUGCAUUUCCUGAGGGGACACCAAUGGAUACACCUCUGCCUGGCACGCAGCUUAGAGGCUAAAUGUAUGAAAAGCAACACCAUGCAAAUCAUUUUGAAACUGCUGUGGAACUCUCACGGGACCCUCCAUUCUAGACAUCCAGUCCCACUAGUGAUCUGACCAUGAAACCUACUAAGAGACUUCCAGAAGAAGAUGACCUCUGAAAGGAGAAAACUUUCUUCCAAGCUUCUGUGGAACAAGAAGAUGCCAUCCCUUUGGUGGAGCCCAAAGGGAAACCAGGACACUGAAGGAAUUAACCAGAAAGAAAAGAAGAGAAGAAGGAGAAGAAAGAAGAAGAAGAAGAAGGAGAAGGAGAAGGAGACGAGGGAAGAGGGAGAAGAGAGAGAAGAGGGAGGAAAAGAAGAAGAAGAAGAAGAAGAAGAAGAGGAAGAAGGGGAGGAAGGAGAAAGGAGGAAGGAGGAGGAGGAGAAGAAGAAGAGGAGGAGGAAGAAGAAAAUGUGAGUGCAUGAGAGUCUAACAUCUUGGCGUCUCUGUAAAAAUGGGUAAUUUGGCACCG